CACCAUAAUCUGUAUUCUUUCACCCCAAAAGCAUACCCAAGAAAAAUGCACUUUUUAAACCUAGGCUCCAAUUUUUCAUCAUUCACAUGCAUGUAUACUGGACACCUAAAAACUUUUAAAUUGGAGUAAUUAGCAGGAGUACCUGACCAAACUUGCUUAGGAAUUUUAAAAUCAAGAGAUGCAGAAGGAGAAUGGUUGACAAUAUAACAGGCCAUAUUGAUCGCCUCUGCCCAAAAGUCGUUUGUCAACCCUGCAUUGGAGAUCAAACAUCUUGUUCUCUCCAAAAUCGUUCUGUUCAUACGUUCGGCCAUACCAUUUUGUUGAGGCGUCAUUGUGACAGUGCACUGCCGAACAAUUCCUUCAUUUUUGCAGAAUCUAUCAAAUUCACUUUCAAAAAAUUCCAUGCCAUUAUCUGUUCUCAACCGCUUAAUAUGUUUUUCUAUUUGUUUAUCAAUCAAAACUUUUCAUUGCUUGAAGUUAGGAAACAUCAUUUUUAUACUUAAGAAAAUAUACCCAAACUUUCCUUGAAUAAUCAUCAAUGAAAGUCAAUAUACCUGGCACCACCUUUAGAAGGAGCACGAGAAGGACCCCAUAGAUCUGAAUGAAUGUAAUCAAGAGUACCUUUUGUCUUGUGAAUUGCUAGUGAACUGAACCUUCUACUUCCCAAAAAUACAAUGCUCACAUAAUUCCAAUGCCCGGUACUUUGUCCACAAUGAAGUCCUCUUUUGCUCAGUAUGCCAAGUUUUUUCGCUCAUCUGCCCCAAACGCAUAUGCCAUAAUUUGGUGAUGUCUAUAUCUGACAAAGAUGAUGUUGAAACAGCAGCAAGACCUGUAAUCAGUAGAUCCCUGUAAAAUAUAUAAAGUAUCAGAUCUAUGUGCUUCAUAAUAACAAAAGCACCUCGAGUGAUUUUGAGAACUCCACCUCCACCAGAAUACCUGCACCCAAUAGACUCAAAGUGCCCAAAGAGAUGAGAUUUUUCUUCAAAUUUGGAAUAUGUUUAACAUUUGUGAGCGCCUCACAAUACCAUCGUACAUUUUUAUUCGGAUUGUGCCUUUGCCAAUAACUUUACAAAUGGCGUUGUUACCCAUUAAGAUAACUCCACCUUCAGUUGAUUCAUAUGUUAAAAAUCAGUUCCUAUUAAGACAUAUGAUAUGAACAACCCGAAUCUAUAAUCCACUCAUUGUUAGACCUAAAGUCAUUUUCCAUUGCAUGGAAAAUGGGUCCAUCAUUCGCAUCAACUGCAAUGCUGGCCUCGGUGGUCUCACUCUUUUUCUCCUUUUGCUUUUCUUUAUUUUUCAAUUUAAAAGCAAUCAGAGAUAACAUGCCCUUCUUUUUACAAUAGUUGCAAACCACAUUUUUAUGUCUGGAUUUGGAUCUAAUUCUAUUUUCUAUGUUUCUCUUUUUAGAUCUACCCUGAACAAACAAACCAUCGAUUUGACUCCCACUAGUUUCCCCAAUAAUAUCCCUAUCUAUCUGCUCUUUAGAUUUUAAUGCAAAUUUAAUUUCCAAUACGAAAUUGUUUCCUUUCCAUAAAUCAUAGUAUCACGAAAUGCUUAAAAGGACUGGAGAAGGGAACACAAAAGUAAUAGGGCCUGAUUUUCAUCAUCAAUUUUCGAAUCUAUAUCCUUCAAAUCCAUAAUAAUAGAAUCAAAUUUAUCAAAAUGGGAGAGUAUAGAUGUAACUUCAGACAUCCGAAGCAUAUACAAACUCUGCUUCAGAUAUAACCGAUUCUCGACUUUUCUUCAUAUACAAGGCUUUCAAUUUAUCCUACAUAGCUUGGCCGAAGUCUCCGUUGCUACCUCCCGUAAAACUUCAUCGGAGAGAUUCAAAAUUAUGCUGGAUCUAGCUUUCUUAUCCAUAUCGGCGAAAUUCACAUCCUUUACAUCUUCUGGCUUGUUUUUAAUUCCUUGUAUUGCCAAAUCAACUCCGUCUUGAACAAGAAUGGCCUCCAUCUUGAGUUGCCACAUGCCGAAGUUGACAUUCUUAUCGAAUUUUUUGACAACCGUCUUUGGUAUCGUUAUUGUUGCCACAAAAAUCUGUAACCUGAUCAAACAAAUAUGCAAGUCUCGUUAGCGGAUCCCACAGGGUGAGCAGGCCCCACGGGAUGAACUGCCCCACAAGAUGAGCGGGCCUCACCGAUAAAUAGACCCCACAGGAUGAGUGGCCCCACAGGAUGGACGGGCCCCACCAGAUGAACCUGUCUUGCAAAAUACAUCAACCAACUCUGAUACCAGUUUGUUAGGACUGGCUUAGGAAUAAACAAAUUAAAAUUAGAACAAAAUAGGCAGUAUACCCGACCAUAUAAAGAUUAGGCGGUAGACACCAGCCAUAUAAUAAUUAGGUGGUAAAACCGACCAUACAAAAGGGUUGUAGCAACCCAAUAAAGACAAAUAACAAAGCAAAAUAAACAACACAGAAAUUUGCGUGAUUCGGUCAAAUUGACCUACGUCCACGAGCGAGGGAGGAACAAUAUUUCUACUAUGAAGAAGAAAUACAAAAACCGUAGGAAAGUAGUUCCUAGGCCAAAAUGGCACUUACAGAAGGUUUAAGAAAUAUUUCUAAACUCAAAACAAAAGAGCCUAAAAUAUUUGACUAUAAAUGGGCUAGAUGACCCAACAAACUAAUAGCCCAUAUAAUGCUCUCUUGAGUGGUACAUUUAAAACCUUCAUAGGGCCUCUAUAUUUAUAGAUGUAUAAGGGAAGGCUUCCUCAGCCUUCCUCUGAUGUGGGACGAAACUAAAGGAAGAAAACUUCCUUAUGCAAAGUUGAUGUGGGACAAAGUCAAAACUAACACUUGGGAAUAAGAAGAUCUUUCAAACUAAACUUGCUGAUUUGCACAAAGAUUAAUAUCAACCUACUGGAAAAUAAAUGAUUACUAGAAAUUAGCCUAAUACUUCUAAGAAAUCUUUGAAAAUCCUAAUUCUAGCCUAUGAUUCUAAGAAAGUUGUUAAAAGGAAAAAGAAAACAUCAGACUUGUCAUUUUUUGGAGCGAAAGUAGUUGCCUUAAUUUGAUACUGUUAGGUAUGGUCCCAAAAAAUGACCCACGAGAAUAAAAGGGUUUUUGACAACUCAAUAAUAACAAUAACAAAACAAAUAAAUCAAACAGAGAAACACAACAUUUCUAUGAUUCGAUCAAACUAAUCUACAUCCACGGGCAAAGAGGCAGCACAUUUACUAUAACCAAAACAGAGUACAAAAGAGAGAAUACAAAACCUUAGAAAAUAAUUCCUAAACCCAAAAGACACCUAAAACUGAAAACACAAAAGAGCCUAAAUAAUACAAAAGACUUAAUGGCCCAAAGACACAUAACUUACUCUUUUGGAUUGAUGCCUAACCAAAACUCCUCUCUUAGAUUGGGGCAUGGACCCCCUAAAACUCUCUUGAAUUGGUGCACACGGCAUUUGGAUUGGUGCCUAUAACACAAUUAAACUCUUUUAAAUCUACUAUAUUUAUAACUACCAAUAGGAGAUACUUCUUUAUAAAAGUCUUGAUGUGGGAUACAAGGACACAUAACAACAAAUCCCUACGUUAACGUGUAUUCUAUAUCGCUAAAUAGUAGAUAAAUAGUAAACAAGCUACACCUUCACCAUAAAAGUUUCAGCGGAUCUCAAUGAACCUCAACAAGCCACCAACGAACCAAGAUACAAAAGAAUCAACAAAUUCCAAUAGGCCAAAUUUUAUAAAAGGUUCAACACAUCCAAACAGGUUAAAAACCACGAACAUAGUAAUAUUUCUCCACGUUCUUCUCAAAAGCCUCAACGAGUUCCAACGGGCCAAAUAAUUCUUCUCCAAAAUCCAAUUGAACUCCAGUGAAAUUUAUUUUUUCACUCUCUGUAAUACCAAAAUCUGACCCUGACCCUGACCCAAAACUUGAAGUUCAAAUACCAAUUUGUUAGUUUUGGUUCCAGCAAACUGACCCACGAGAAAAAUAGGGUUCUUAACAACUCAAUAUUGACAAUAACAAAUCAAAUAAAUCAAAUAGAGAAAUAUGAAAUUUACGUGGUUUGGUCAAACUAACCUAUGUCCACGGGCGAAGAGAUAGCACAUUUACUAUAACCAAAAGAGAGUGCAAAACCCUAGAAAAUAAUUUCAAAACCCAAAAGGUACCAAAAAUUGAAAACACAAAAGAACAUAAAUAACACAAAAGAAUUGACAGCCCAAAGGUCGAUAACUUGUUCUUUUGGUUUAAUGCUUAACCAAAAUUGCUCCAUUAAAUUGGGGCGUAGAUGACAAAAGCAGAAUAUACAUAUAACAAUUAACUUAUCCACAGUCAAGCUUACAUUUAUAAUAUUUAAAUACCCCACAUGCAAUUUUUCUGCAAGUGUACAAGUCAUAAGCAAGUAUAGAGUAUUAAGGGUUGAUCCCAUAGAGAAAAUUUUUCGAUUACCAGUUGUUUUUUAACUCUUUUAUUAUUUUGACUACCAUAAAUAUAAAAGUAAUGAAAAUAAUACUAGAAAGUUUCUAGAAGUAUGGAAUUCCUUACUACUUUUGCAAAUGAGAUUACCGGUUAAGUGAAUGCUAUUAUUUUGAUUAGUUAUGGUGUAAUUUCCUAAUGUAUAUGAAACCUACCCUCGUAGUGAAUCAACUAUACUUGUAACUAAACCAUACAUACUCAUGUGGUUAUGAAAUUAACUACAAACUCAUUUCUUCUAUGAAAUUGUAUGAAACAAGUCACUAAAGCCACAAAGGUGCACCUCUACUCUCGUGAGUAUACUCUCUAAAUUUAUCACUUCCUUGAACUAGUGUUAAAUUUCAAUUCUCAUUGUAACUUAACACCUUAAGAUUAUCACAGUCAAUGACCGGUUAAUCAAGAUUAAAUAAGUAAAAGUAAUAAAUAACUUGAUCAAAAUAAUAUCAUCAAAUAAUCAAGUAAGUGUCACUAAUAAGAUAUAGAAAUUUCAUCCAUAGCUCUAGCCAUGAAUUUUAACUAAACAUAAAGAAAAACAAAUCCAAACAUGUAUUAUACCUAAACAUGAAAUCAAAUACAAAAGAAAAAGUAUUAGGAGAGAAGUCAGCCUUGUCACAUGAGAUCAACCUCUCCAUCUUUGCUCCUUAAUCUUCAUCCAAAUUUAACUAUAAAUCCAAGAAAGAAAAACUACACUAACUAUACUAAUCUACUCUAACUAAUGAACUAAGGAAAUUCUAUUGAAAACUACAUUUUUUGUGAGUUUCUCUACCCUUCUAGUUGUCAUUUUUGACUCUUGAAAAUCCCAUGAGUUGUCUCUCCAACUUUCCUCACUUUUCUUGAUCAGAUACAACCGAAAUUGAAUUGAAAAAGUUGUGUGAAAGCAGGGCAAGUUGAUGAGCAAAUUACAGAAAUCAGGCAAGAAUACGCGACCUUGGAAUACGUGACUUCAGCUCGCGUAUUCAAGGUCGCGUUUUCACUCCUGUGAAUGUGGCACCAUUUCAACAGCUAUUUUCUUGAUGAUGGAGGCCAAACUAGCUCUUGUGCGAAACAUACAAAUUAUAGUCCUUUGAGUUAUCUUUCGAAUGCCUCAAGAAUCAUCUCAUUUGGAGCUCUGUGGACUGAGAAAUGACCAAAAUAUCUUCAACUGGUCAGAGCUCUGUGGACUGAGAAAUGACCAAAAUAUUUUCAACUGGUCAGAGCUCUAUUUCAACUUUCGACAGCAAAGUUGCACUUCUGUAUUUUGACUUUUUGACAAUAAAACUAAUUAAACUGGACUUUGAUGUCUCAUACCAAAUGCAGAUCUAUCUCUUACCUUCAAAAUAGCAUAAGAAUCACCUCAAUCCAAUCAUUUUGCUCAAGAUAUAGUCAAAAUACUAUAAAGGUGUCAAACCUGUGAAACUUCCUUUCUUUUGCUCUUGCUUUCAUUUCUUCUUUUGCACUUUAUAUUCUAUUUUUAUCACUUCAAACCAUCAUCAAUCAUUCAAUUAUCUUCUCAAUUCACUCCAUUUGAUGUUUGAAUUAUUAAAUCUACAAAAACAUGAAGUUUUCACUAUUAAAAUCCAUUAAAAUGCAAUUUUUACCACUUAAACCACAAAAUACAUAUUUUCACUAGAAACUUAGUUAAUUAGCUAUAAAAGUAGUUAAAAUACACCAAAACUAACUAAUAAAAUACACUAAAAACAUGUAAAAUAUGCACUUAUCAAACUCCCCCACAUUUAAACCAUUACUUGUCUUCAAACAAUUAGAAAUAUAAAUCCAACAAUGAUCCAAAAUUUUUGGAAAUAAAUAUACUUGUACAAUUCAACUUCAUUUUCUCAAAACAAGGUGAAUGACCAUUAUGUAAUCAUUAAAUUAAGUUCAAGUACUCGUAACAUCAAGUAAAGGAGAGUCAAUUAUACCAUAAUUUUAACUUGUUCAACUCAAUUUCUCAUCCUUACCUAAUUUCAUAAAGUAAGUAAGUCAUAUGAUCAAUAAAAUAUUUUCUAAACCCAUGAUCAUCUUCUUAUUCAUAUUUAAAAAAGAAUUUAUUCAUAUCACAUAUAUAAAUAUUACUCUCAAGUUGUGAAAGUGCCUUUUGACGCGAAAAUCGACACUUUUAGAUGAAGAUCACCGGUUACUCAACACUUCACAUUCUCAAGUUGUCUUGCCUACUCUUAGUUCAUGUACCAUUUUUUGCGAAAGUUGACAUUUUUGGAUCAAGACUCCUGCCGUUACUAAGCACAAGAACCAUUGGAGUAAAAUUAUUUUUAUUCUCUUUUCUUUUUUUCUUUUUUUCUUCUUUUGUUUGUUUCAAAGCAAAGUUAAUAACAUUCACUUAAAAGAAUAAUCAUAAGAAGAGUAUUACACUUAUUGACCACAUUAAUCACUUAACUAUGUAAAAUCAAUUAAAGAGAAAAAAUUUCAUCAAAAUUGCAAAAUUUUGGCAUAAUUUUCUCUACUUUUCACAAUAUAUUUUCCUAUAAAUGCACAAAUUAUAAUCAUAUAAUAGUCAUUUCUAAGUUAAAUGAGAAAUGAAGUUUUCAAGUCACAUACAUUUAUUUCAAAAGUAAAAGGAAUUUGAAUUACUAAUGAUAUGGAACUUGUUUCCCUUUGGAUAAAAUUGAAAAGUUUGAAACUUUUUGGGGCAUUUUUGUAAUUUUGGAUAAGAUUUUGAAAAAUUUUUUGACAGAGUUUCUCCUUAUAAAUGGACUAAACUCUUUGCCAACAAACCAAAUUUUUGAACAAAUUAAAGCAUAAGAAAUAUUCCCAAUAUCAAGUCCGAAUCAUUUCAAUCACCACCAUAUAUAUAAUCUCAAUUCUCUCUCCAAACUCACCAUGCACAUUGUACUCAAUGUAUAAAAAGGGAAAUCAAGAUAAAAAAUAAUAAUACUCCCCUACCGACGUAAUUGACGUAUGCAAAUAUGAAAUUCGUAGUAAAGACAAGAUAGACUUGGACCAGAAAAAAACCCGUGCUCAAAAUAUUUUGAGCACGGGUUUUGUCGGUAAAAAAAAUAAAAUGGAUUCAAGUAAAAUUUUUUCAAACGUAUCAAUAAGCUAGACCCAUACUGCGGGUUGUUUCAUGCCAUAAAUAAACUCGAACACUCAAGAAAUCCGUUGGGCAGGCGGAUUCACAUCUUUUACGACCAACGCAGUCUUCGGUUCUUGGAGCAGAAGCAAUUUGUUUAGCUUUACAUCCGUCCCAAGGUAUCAUUUCUAAUACAUCGGUCGGGCAAGCUCGGACACAUUGAGUAUAUCACAAUCCAUUGUUCGUGUAUCUUCAAAGUUUCAUGAAUUCUACUUGAUAACCAUUAGCAAUAGAAACCUAAGAAUGGAAAAUAAAAGGCAAAGAUGAUAACAAAGGUAUUAACAAACAUAAAACGGUGAUCCGUAACUUCAUUCCUUUGUUUUGAUGAUGUACCCACAUAAAAUAUACAAGAAACUACACAAGGUGUGACGCCCCAUUUCUCCUAAGGCGAACCAAAGGGUAUCCGCGAGACACCUGACCAACUCUCUCAUUCAAAUUUAAUGCAAUACUAGACAUCACAACUAGAUAAAACAAGUCAAAUAAUGCGGAAGCUUUCAAACUUAACAAUUUAUAACGAUUAUCCAAGCCAUUACAUCGAAUAUCCAAAGGAUACUUCAAUGCCCAAAAUAUACAACAUCCAAAUACAUCAAAUAUCCAAAUCAUACAUUAAGAUUCCCAAAAGUAUAACCAAUAAGGGGUCUAGCCCAAAUUACAUUCCCUAAGCCAAAAGUACAUCAAAAUGGGGUUUCUCCAAAUUCAUUUCGUGUCCAAUCCUGUUAAGAAAACAAAUCUACAGGGUGAGCAAAACGCUCAUGAGGCCAAGAUCACACAUGCAAGCACAUUGUCCAAGUAACAAACCCAAAUAACAGGUCAAUUGAUAAAGUAUAAGUAAUUGACAAUUCCAAUAAAAUGUAAACAGAAACAAUUCAAGGAUAUGGUAGCUCUCAGGAGCUAAGUUCCACUUGCUUUGCCAGAGUCAUUCGUAUACCUUCCCGCAAUGACUCUCCAUCAACCGGGUCGGUAUUCCGUCCCGUAGAUCUCCACUUACUUCUCAUGUCCGUGCACCGUACAUACCACUCCGGGCCCGCACGUCAUUUAUAGGGCGAUACUCCACGAGUAUGCCAAGCGAGAUUCUCAAAUAGAUCAAGUUUAUCAGGUAAUCUCAUGACUCACCGAGGUUCUCGACCAAGCCCAUGCCGCCUCGAGUCCCACGUCGGCCUAUGAGUUUGGGCAUCCCCCAUGUACAUGUAUGUGUAGAGGAGAUUCACUCCAGCGACGUAUGCAGCCAUAGCAUAUUAUUUCAGGUCAAGCAAGCAUUUGAUAUAUUCAAGCAUUCAUGUCAUAUCAAGCAGGUCAUUCAUUUCAUGUCAAACAAGUUGAUCAUGAAUUAUUUGUUUCAAAUGAGAAUGAGUGCGAUAAAAUACACAUUCGACUCCAUUUUUAAAAUCUUUGAUCAUUGGUUACAGGUAAACUUGUAUCAAGUUCACAGGAGUUCAAGUAAUCAUACACUUGACACUCACCAAGUAAACAAGGAAGAAAUGUCACUUGAAGUUCAGGUGUCCACCGAGAAUCCUCUUGAAGGUUCUCGUGCGAGCCUGAGCAAUUUAAUAGUGAAGUAUCAUUUAUAAACCCUAAUUAUCACGCAUGAGUGUACGCUUGUACAAUCCGAGAAAAUUUCAUGAAAGUGAGCCUAAUUUAUUCAUAAAUUGAGGCUCAAAAGUGGGGUUUCAAAAGUACAAGAGAAAUCGAGUUUUCGCCUUUGAAAUCAAGGGUAAAACGUUCAAGUGAUAUCGAGAGAAAAAGAAGAAUUCGAACAACUCUAUUUCCCUUAAGUUUUGGAAAUUUCAGUUUUGAUACGAGAUCUUUGAAAAAUCGUAUCUCACUCGUUACAAGUCCAAAAUUGGAAAACUUGGUACCGUUGGGAAACUCCUUCCAAAGUACUAAAGUUCCUAGAAUAUACUUUCCCAUGAUUCCAAACGGAAAGUAUUCAAAAAUUAGCUCAAAGUUGCUGUUUUGGGGAACUUAAGACAGGUUUAGGUUGGUUUUUGGCCAAUUUUGAAAAUUCGGCAAAAUUCACUUGAUUUGAACUAACAUCUGAAAUUUGGAAAUCUAUUAGAGUUACAAUCCAAGUUUAAAAAAAAAAAAUGGAACAAGAAUCGGAGUAUUGAGAACCAAGAUAUGAUAGCUCAAAUUUGGUGAAAAAUCGAAACUGUUAAGCAAAAUUCCAGAUUUAAACUUCAAAUUUUGGGACUUUGGUUAGGUAUUGAAACGGACUCAGAACGGCACCAAAUUUGGUAUGAAUACACUACCAUAUAAUGGCUAUUCUUCUACCAAAUUUCAUUGAAAAAUAUGUACGAGAAAUCGGUUAACGAAACUACUAAAAUCCCAAGAAGUUCCAAGGUAAAUCUGCCUUGGACUUCCGUUUUUUCCGUUUUCAAAUAUUUGGCCAAGAAAACAUCUCAAACAUGGUCCACUCCAGUAGUUAAUGUCUAAGAGAUGUCCAAUAUACAUUUGGUAGGUGAUUUACACCAAGAAAUUCAAAACAACAAGUCCCAAUAAGGAUUUAAGCAUUCACUAGCCAAAAGAGGAUUUGAAUUCGCCUAGUCAGUUUUGGAGAUUGGCCACAACUCACUCAAUUCGACUCGGAAUUGAGCGUGAUUGGUGGCAUUGAAAACUAGAUUCAUAAAGCUACAAUUUCUUAGAAGAAAUUAUUUUCAAAAUCUGUCCACAACCAACUCAUAUGUGAGCAUCAAUUCGCUGCUCACAACCAAGCUUCUAGUGAACUAAUGAAACAGGUCAGUCAACUUCAAACGGGUGGUACGGAUUACUCAUGUGGAAUCAGGACGUGUAUUUUUUAUACCGUUGGAAAGUUGGGAAUGUCCAGUUUCCAAUGCCAUAAAUGGCACUCAAUUUCAAUAUUGGAGUAAAAUGUUAUGGCCGAAAGAAAAAGACUGUCUGGGCAAUCCGAGAAAAUUUUCCAGUUUUGCUAAACCUUUGAAAUCACUACCAUUGACCAACCAAAUCUUUCUUGAAUAAAAUUCACUUUCAAAAUUCAAAAUUAGAGAUUAAAAGAAAAUCAAAAAAUUUUUCUCAAAGUUUGAAUACUUACCUUUCCUGCGAACAUGACGCGGGCACGUCAUGUAGGCACGAAGCGAAGUGAAGAGCUCUCCAGGUUACUUGACGCGGGCACGUCAUGAGGACAUGAACCCCUUCUGACGAAUCUGACCAUGAGCCCUUCAUGGGACUUGACACGGGCGCGUCAUGUCAGAAGGAUGCCUAUGAAUCAUCAAAAAUGAAAAUUGAAGCAAAAAAAUCAGUCAAAUCCAAGGAAAAACAUAUUUAAACCAAACAAAAACGAACAAAUGAUUAAAAGAAAUUGGGUUGCCUCCCCAUGAGCGCCUUUCUUUAAUGUUUUUGGCCAACAUUGUCAUGUUUGUUCAGGGAGGAUAAAAUCUUGUGCCUCGUUUCAAUGUUUCAUCCUCUAUAGAGUCUGAUAGCCCUCGUAAAUAAAGUAAUUCUUGGCACACGAGCUACGGGCUUCCAUAGACUAGUAAAUGGUGCCAAACGAGUCAACAAUAAUUUACAUUCUCCAUUCACUCCCCUUCACGUGCAUUUAUUGGUCCAAGAUAUCUUGUCAUCGCUACUCUUAAUUUAUUCCUAUCAUGAAAUUCAAAAUUUUCUGGUAUAAUAAAGUCAAUUUCAUUAACAGGAAUUAAAGAAUAAGAAUCAGGAGAAUAUUGAUUAAGGAUUGAGGAGAUGUCACCGCAUUUGGAGAUUGUUCAUUGGAUUCAUUCACCUGGACGAGUUGAUACUUGGGCCUCAUUUCUUGCACUUCAGCUUCUUUUCAACUGCAUCUUUAGAUCCGUUUCCUUGAAACUUUUGCAGUUCCAUGUCAUUUGGCCGGAUAAUCGCACUCUCAUCUUCUUCAAGGUUGAUAUUGGUUUGUGAGGGCAAUUCUUCAAGGUGAGAAGCUAAUCGCGUUAUCUUGGAUGUCAAUAGAUGUAUUUGAUCUGCCAUCCCGGAUAUCAAUAGUUGCACUUGAUCCGCCAUCGCUUGUGUCUCCUGCUGAGUUCGAUAUGUAUUAGCAGCUAGUAAUUCAAUCAUUUCUUCAAGAGACAUACCUGACACGGAUGAUGGUUGUUGAGAUUCUUGUUGUUGAAAAUCCAUAGGUCCGGUCGCAUAAUUAAAAUUGAAUUAUCCCAUCAUCCUUGAUCAUACCUGUUUGAAUAAGGGUUAUACCACGUUUGAAAUCGAGGUGAAAAAUCUCCAAAAGUAUCAAUUGGAGCACUUAGAUUAUCUUGAAAUGCGGGGCAUGUGUCGGUUCAAUAACUUGAGGCAAAAUAAGUUGCACAAUUUGUAACAACCCAUUGAUCAUUAGAAAAAACACGAGUCUCAUAACCCCAUUCAGGAAUAAAGUCCAGUCUAUCAUCAAAAUACGGAAUGUUAGCAGCCAUAAACUAUAUAAAAAAAUAAGAGAAAAAUAAAUAAAAAAAUAAAAACAGAUGAACUCAAAAAGAAACAAAUUAAUCUGGCACCAGUCCCCGGCAGUAGCGCCAAAAAUUGACAGGCGUCGGCCUGUGCAAUAAUAAAACCUGCUCAAACUAAAAGUAAUUUCUGUACAUAGCGGUGAGUAGGGUCGAAUCCACAGGGACUGGGAGUAAUUAUUUCUUUUCAAAUUCACAGUGACAAGGGGGUGUUUUUGUGCAGAAGAUGACAAUCAAAGAAAUUCAAAUAAAAUCUAAGAAACUAUUAAAAAUUAAAUAACAAGUUACUAAAGUCAAAUGAAUGAUAACUAAUGAUCUAGCCAAGAAAUAACUUCAGCAAUAGUUCACCUAAUUGAUCAUCGAUGCAAAGCCAAUUCCAAUUAUUUACUAAUAAAUAGGUUAUAACUGCCAAACAAGCGAUGACAAUCAACCCCUCCUUACUGUGUUGGUGAUUAAGGUACGCCCGUUAAUCACUACUUUAAUUGAGAAAUAAUCUUAGGUACGCUUGUAAGAUUUAAUUCCCCAAUUGCCUUACGUAUUAGAGGAGCCAUAUUCUAACAAAAUAACACACCACCAGGGUUAUUUUAGGUUAGCCCAUGUAUUCCUUUGACACAAACCCAAUCAUGCUAGUUAUCACUAUUUUGAGACAAUUAAACAAUUAUAGAUUUAACGUCCCAAUUGAUAAUAGAUUAUCAAAUUAACUAAUUAUCCGGAUCCAAGACAAUCAAUUAAUUAAACAAUCAUAAGCACUGUAACUAGGGAAUAUGCAAAUACUAAUAAAUAAAAGAAAAAGGUAAAAUUAAAUCGAUCUCAUAAUUUUAGGCGAGUCAAAGCAUUCGUUGCUCCUUGACUAGAAAAAGAGGUUUAGCUCAUUAUUGAUGAAAAAAUCCCAUACAAGACUGCAUAAAUAGUUGCGACAUACAUUCUUCCAAUUAGGGAGGAAGAAACAGUGGAAAACCGAAUACUGGAAAAAAGACUACUUCUUCAAAAAGAUGAUAACCCCUUAUUUCUACCCUAAGUGUAACAUACGUGGACUCAAAACCACUAAAGGACAAGAUUGUCCAAAGCCCAAGAGAAGUCUUCUGCUACUCCCCGUACCUAUUGAAUUACUAAUCUAUUCUAAUGCUUGGCUCUCAUGUGCGGCGGCCCACCAGGAGAGAAACGACUCCAGCCUUUUGUGCUUCUUUUGAAUGUUGUCUUCUGCAAAUUACCAAAAAGAACUUGUGUCUCCUUGUUCCAAAAAUAUCCUUGAAGACCUUCCAUUUGAAUUCUUUUCCGAUGACUGUCAAAUUGGCCUUGAUUGUGAUAUUUUUGUUCUAUUCCCUGAAAUAAAUGUAAAUUACGAAAAGUGAGUAGAAUCUAAUAAUUAAUUUACAUCAGGUCAGGUAAUAGAGAAAAUUAAUAAUAAAAUAAAUAAUGAAAUUGUAACCGAUCAAGGGACAAAUUGUUAUUUUACCUUAGUUGGGAUUUUUCCUAAGAGAUUUUCCUUAAAUGUUGACAGCAUAAUCAGGGUUUAGUUCAUUGAGCAGUACUAUUGUAUAGCUUAAUUGGUUGUAGCUGUACUUUUGUGGAGCAGAUUCCUUUGCACUUAUGUACAUUCAUGUUCUAUUAAAUAAAAUCCCUUUUUACGUGGUGUGUGUUUAUAUAUAUAUAUAUAUAUAUAUAUGUAUGUAUGUAUGUAUGUAUAAGGCUCAAGAGAAUUAAACUUACAAAUGCACCCUACAAACCAUUCUCCUUUUCAUGUACUCCAUCUAUUCGUAUAACUCACGAUUUCCUAUUAUAUUUAUUCGACACGUACAUUGGUUUUCCAACGUCAUUGAACCAAGAUUGUGACAAACAAACAAAAACCUUAAUUUCAUCAGUCAUUCAAAAUUCACACAAAUGUUGAUAUCUUAGUUUCAAUCCACAUUUAUACACACAAAUACAAAUGUUGGCUCUGUCAUUCAAUGCUGUGAUUACAAGAAAUACGGCCCGUAACAAUCUACUUUGAAUGAUAAACUCUUAUGAAUAGGAAUAAAACUAACAUCUUUUGUCAUAGAAAUUACUUUUAAAAUUUUAAGAAUGCUAAGUGAAAUUAUUAGAAGCCUCUGAAAUUAUCCCUUAAGGAAAAUAAGCAAGGUAGGCAACAGACAUCCUGGUUACUGCGCACCACACUACGCCCCAUCACACCUAUAUUUGGUCUUGAAUUGAAUGGCAUUCCAAAAUUGAUUAUCAACAUUUGUAAAGAUGUAGAUGUACCAUAACUAGAUACCAACCCAAGGCAAUUGAGAAUCUAAAACUCUUGGAGACCUAAAAAAUCCUCAUUGGUAGAUCAAUGCGCUGCUGAUCAGGAAAAAUAAUUACGUGCGUAACAUUUCUAAAUUUCAGGUCAGGAGAAAAACUACGUGCAAAUUUUCCUUUUCGAUACAUGUGAUGAAGGCUACAUGCAUUUAGAAAUUUCCAAGAACCAAUAAAGUGAAAACAUGUAUGGUCGUAUUGGGCUAUUGAAAGCUGAAAGUAUCAUAAUCUGGAUAAUAAUUUAGGGGCAAAUUCCUCAUAUUUCCCUUGUAGUUUAGCAUUUUUUAAGAUACACCCCUUAUAGUUCAAAAAAGUCCACUUGUACCCUAUGUGCUUUGAAUUUAAGUAGGAAAACAUGGAAGCAGACUUCACUAGCGGAGAUUUCACUGUAAGCAUUUCAAUAGUGCAAUUAGUUACUUGAUUCUAAUGGCGUUAAGACUUAAUAAUAUUUUUCCUCUACAAAUACCUCCAAAUUAACAUUUGCAAUCUUUAAAAAGUUUCAAAUCAUCACUUUUUAGGGUAUUUGAACCUUCUAUACAAUAAAAAAUGGUUGAUAUAUUUUUAUUAUAAAGUCCAAAUGUUCAUCUGAGUGUAUUUUCGAAAGAAAACAUUAUUUUAGUUUAUUAUCACUAGAAACAAGUAAUUAAUCAGUUGCACUAUUGGAUUGUGUAAAGUUAAAUUUUCACUAGUAGAGUCUAUUUCUGUCAGUUUUCCACUUAAAUUAAAAUCACAUUGGAUGUUAGUGAAUAUUUUUUAGUCACAAGGGGUGUGUCUUAAAAAGAGUUUAAUCAUAGAGGUGUGGAAUUAGCCCAUAAUCUAAUUUUCCUAAAGAAGGAUUUUGGCUAAAAAUAAGAUGAGAGAGAAAUAAUGCAAGAAACCGAUAAAAGAAAUCAAGCGAUCGAUGUUUACCAAGACGAUGUUUCUUCUCAUUUGUGAAAAAAAUUCCGAACUUAUCAACUUUUGAUGUUUGGAAAAAAAAAACACAAAAGAUUAUCCAUGAUUUAUCGACUCGAAAAGAAAUAAGACAUGUAGCAUACUUCGAAGAAUUAUUUCUAGGUUUUUCUUGUUUAUGAAAUUCAAUUAGAUUUCAAUGGCACAUUAAUGAGUUAUCUUAAAAUACAAGUAUAUAAAUGGAAUAUGCGGCAAUCACAAUAGUAGAAGAAAUAUUUAGGCAAUCACACAGUGUUUUGUGUCCUUUGAAUUGCGGACCACUUCAGGAACAUUCCCGCUGUGGAACAUUGAUAUGCAUAGAUUGGUUUUAUUAAUUAAUUUAUUCUAAAAGUAUAUUCAAAAUUGCAAAAUACUUCAUUGAAGUUGUCUAUGGAGUUCACCGGAAUCCAUGGAGAAGGGAAAGCGGCAGAGAUUAUUUAGAGGGUAUACCCAACAUCCAAAUUUCCUACAAACAAUUUCCAUAUGUGCAUAAGGAAACUCAAUAAUUUAGAAAAGCUUUGAAAUCGAAAUGUUUUUUAAUUUAACAAAUUACAGUACUUAAAUUUGGAAAAAAUUAUUAUGAUGGCGUGGCAUUUCCUACUUUGACAUCUACAAAAGUGGUGAUACACCAGUGAUCUAAAAAUCAGUGAUACAUCUCAUCACUCUCCAUUUUAAUGCCUUACAAAGCUUUUGCAUAAACUGCAACUCAAAAAAAAAAAAAAAAAAAAGGAAACGAAGGAGGGGGAAUUUUCUACAAUUUCAUCUUGAAGGAGGGCAAUGGUUUGGGAUGAAACUGAAAUUAAAAAUAUGUCUUAUAGUUGCCUGCAUUUUUUUUUGUUUGGGUUUGUGUGUUGGGUGUGUGUGUGUGUGUGGGGGGGGGGGGGGCGCAUAUAGUUGCCUGAAUUGUUAAUGCUAUCUAUGAAUCGUAGUUUUAAUUGCACAUUUUGCGUGUACUUCUUGGAUAAUUUGUUUGCACUUGGUGAGGGCUGCUGACAAUAGUUCCUAGGUCCUCCUGUAACUUGUUGAGAAUGCCAUUAUGGAAGAGUUUAGAAUUUGGUACUUUUCCAGUUGCUUCCAUAGGCUGCUAGCACAGAAGAUGAUCUAGUCUUUGCAUUUGGAAUCUGCCAAGAAGGGUGGCCUUUGUGAUGAAGACUGCACCCCGUAGAGAAUCUUUUUCUAAUCCCAUUUCCAGAUUCUGAAGAAGCUUGAACCUGGUCACAAUUACGUAGCAGAUGAAAAUAUGAGAAUAAUAUCUACAAGAGAUGUCUAAAAUGGUAGAUACCGAUCCAGCAUCAUCUACUCUCUCUCCACUCGUGUUCCUUAUUAUUUUCAAAAUGCAAUUGUCUACACCAACCAGAAACUAAUUCAAACUGCCAAGACUAAUAGCAAUAAAGUAGUUAAAAGCUCAGGAGGAUUCAAAACUAGGUUUAGCUUGACACUGAUUAAUUGGAUUACUAGUUUUGUUUUUGUUAUGACUAAGUUCACUUCUGCUAAGCAUACGUACGGAAGAAUGUCAGAUUUUUUGCAACAUGUCCAAAAGUACAAAUAAGGUUGUAUUGGCAAUGUCAAGUUGAAAAUGAGAGAUCAAAUGGAAUAAGUAGGAUGUCCUGAAUGCAAAGAAAAGAUUAAAGAAAGGAUCACUCCUGUUCUAUUCUUUCUCACUCUUUUCAUUUGGCCCCAUAUCACGACUAGGUUUAGGCACAAGAUGUGUUAGGUCUGACCCUAAAAAAUUGACGAAAGGAUUUUUGAUAACUCCAAAAGACAAAUAACAACGCCAAAAUAAAUAAAAUAGGAACACAAGAAUUUACGCAGUUCGGUUAAAUUGACCAACGUCCACGGGGAGAGAAGUAUCAAUAUUUUACUAUGAAGAAAAAAGUACAAAAAUGUCUUAGGAAAAGAUUUCUAGGUCUAAAACAUCUAAUACUUAAAACACAAGAGAACCCAAGAUAUUUAACUAACCAAAAGGUUUAAUGAUCCAAAAGUCAAAAUAACCCACUAAAACUCUUUUGGUUUGGUGUGCUUAAUCCCAUCACAGGCUCACUAUAUUUAUAGGCAAUUAAGGGACAAGUUCUCUUAUAGAAAAGGAGACGUGAGACAAAGCCACUUUAACAAUUCUCCACCUUAGCAUGUCCCAAUAUCAACAAUAGCAAAUCUACUCCACCUUCUCCACAUAAGCCCCAACGGGCCUAAAUCACUAACAACGAGUAACAACCAAGUUCAAGCAUUGCUUGAAAUUUCAUGGGUCACCUCCUUGUCACGCACUUAAAAAGAAAUAUAUAGCACCAAUAUUAUUCUAAACCAUUUGAGUAGAAAAAACAGUUCAAACAAAGACCAAAGAAGCUGAGUUAGCCAACAGACUUCCUGGUCAAUACACGCCACUCUACGCCCCAUCAAACCUACUUAGGUCUUGAAUUAAAGGUCACUCCAAAAUUGCUUAUCAACAUUCGUAAAGAUCUCAAACUCUUGGAGAAUCCAUGGAGAAGGUAAAGCGGUGGAAGUGAUUUAGAAGUAUACCCAAAAUCCAAAUUUUCCUACAAGCACUUUCCAUAUGUGCACAAAAGAAAACUCAAUGAUUUAGAAAAGUUUCUAUAUCCAAUUUUGAAUGUCUAUUCAGCUUUCGCAUAAAAUGUAACCCCCCCUCCCCCCCCCCCCCCAAAAAAAAAAAGGAGGACGAAUUUUCUACAAUUUCUUCUUGACGGAGGCAGUGGUUUAGGAUGAAACUGAAAAACAAUAGUUGCAUGAAUUGUUAAUGCUAUCUAUGUAUCAUUGUUUUUGUUGCACAUUUUGGGUGUACUUCUUGGAUAGUUGUUUUGGCAUUUGGUGCUUUUCCAGUUGUUUCCACAAGCUGCUUGCAGAGAAGAUCAUCUAGUCUAUACAUGUGGAAUCUGCUAAGGAGAAUGGUGGCCUUUGUGAUCAAGACAGCAUCACAUAGAGAAUGUUUUUCUAACCCAAUUUCCAGAUUCUGAAGAAGCUUGAACCUGGUCAGAAAUAUAUAGCAGUUGAAAAAAGGAGAAUAUUAUCUACCAUAGAUGUCUAAAGCAGUAGAUACCGAUCCAGUACAAUCUACUCUCCCUUCACUCGUAUGUCGUAUCCCUUUCUAUCUUCGAAUUGCAACAUCAAACCGCUAAGAUUAAAAGCAAUAUUGUAGUUAAAAGCUCAGAAGCAUUCAAAACUAGAUUUAGCUUUAUAGUAAUUAAUUAGAUUACUUUAUUUUUUGGGGUAAUGGCUAGGCUAUAUGCACACAUAUGUAUGGGAAGAAUGCCAGAUUUUUUAAAAUAUGUCCAAAAGUACAAAUAAGGAGCAAUGGCAGCAUCAAGUUGAAAAUGACAGAUCAAAGGGAAUAAAUAGGAAGCACUCAAUGCAAAAGAAAAGAUUGAAGAAAGGUGACCACUUAAGUUCUAGUGUUUAGCAUUCUUUUCAUUUGGCCCCAUAUCACGACUAGGUUCAUUCAGGUACAAGAUGAGGGCUUACUUAGCUUAUUGAACGAAAAGCACUUGGAAAAAAAAAAAUGCUAUCAAUGCACUGAUCACAUAUACAAAUCAUCAAGAAAGAAGCUCUAUAAAUAGCAGCAUCGAAGCUGAUCAAAAGCAUAGGAUGAAUUAACAAAGCAUCAGAUGUCCUCUAGAGUUCCCUCAGAACACUUCACUGGGGGGACAUGUUUCUUUCUUUGACUCAUUUAGGGCCAAAGAACUUUGCCUACUGAAGUGUUUGGGGGAACUCCUGAGUCCAUUUGAUAUGUAAUGAAUAAGAUUCCAGAUUUUUGUUGUUGUCUUCAAAUUUCUUCCUAGCUUGUGAGCUUGAGCGAGCAUUAGGAUUGCGAAAAGUAGUUAUUCAAGCUAGUUGCUUAUAUGUUUUCUUGCAGUUUCUUUUGAGUUUACUUAUGUAGUUAUAUGCCUUCUUUCUUGGUAGAGAUGAGUUGCAUGAAGCAAACUACAUAAAGAAAAGAAUAAGGAACUUCAAUUAGCAAAUGCCCUGUAAAUUACUAGUUCAAAUUACUUAUAGCCUAUGUUCAUUGUUAGUUUCAUGCUGGUAUUAUAUAACAUGUCUAGUUUCUAGCUAAUGCUUUAGAUGAAUUAGGAUGGCCUUCGGAGAUAAUAUCCAAAAAGAAACGGAGGAAAAAUACGUAAAAUUGUUUCUGUACUGUGCAACAACUACCAUCGGUUUGAAGCUUAUGUAGAGUUUGUUGGAACUAUAAGAAGUCUCAGUUACUGUUGCUCAAAAUCAAGAUAAAAAGUGUUUUUCUUUUGUUGCAAUUCCUUUCAUUUUGUCUUACAAAUCCAAUCCCCCCUCCUCCCAAAGGUUUCAUAGAAUAUUGGCAAGGUUACAAUAGCAAUAUGAAGUAAAAAGGGAAUUGCAUGAUUUAUAAUGGUGGUUAAGAGUACAGAUACUCAAAGCAUGUUGCAGCUUUAACGUUUCCAUUAGUUGUACAUGCUAAAUAGUGCAUACUGCCAUCUACAAAAUGUUUUGUGCAUAGAUUUUCAUAAAUUUGUAUAAAUGGUUUAACAAAUAGGUAAGUAAAACUACAUAAUCACUUUUUAAAGAUAAAAGUCGUGUACUUUUAUUUUCAAUUAUGUAGUUUGAUUUCAUGAUGCAUGACUAAGGUUAGUAGUGUUAUAAUAUUUACAUCCGUAUGUUGGUUGCCUAAUGAUAAUAUCUAUAUUUUUCUCCAAAAUCGAACCUCAUUUGAUAUACCGCGCAAAAUAAGUUUCUUACUUCAGGUAAAGGAAACUGUUAUGGAUUUUACCGUGCCUCAUAAGUUGGACGAUUUGACAAGCGAGGAAUCGGUCUUUAUGAACCAAAGUUUCAGGCAUAAAGGUUGCAUACAUGGAAUAACAUCAAAGGGAUUAUUUUCAUUCAAAUGGAAGUCCGGAUACCAGUUCCAAUUUCAUGGCAAUGUUUCCAGGCCUCUCGCUAUAAACUUAACGUGGAUUAUUUUCUAUAGGUGAUCAGGGUUCUCUGGCAGAGGAAGCAUUAUUCGUGAUAUUUAGGCAAUUUUAUUGAUGGAUUGACAUAGAAGCAGGGACCCCUUCCCUACCAGAGGGUUUGAACCGAAGCUCUGUCUUGAUCGACAACUCCGGCCAGCGCUCGUUCAAAUGGACUGGAAGAUUGUGAUCAGCUUAGUUUGCAAUACAGUAAGAAUUCCAUGGAAAAUUCGUCUUUGUGUAACUCAGGAAAUUAAGAAGUUCGCCUCGCAUGAAAUUUUUUCUAUUAAACAUGCGUAGCAGCAAGUUAGAAGUCUUGAUCUAAAGUUGGAACUCUAGAAAUUAGAAAUUUUGAUUAAGAGCAAAAUGCACUUUAUCCCCCUGUAGUUUAGCGCUUUUUCACAUAACCCCUGUGAUUUCAAAAGUUAUACAUAAUCCCCUUAUAAUUGGAAUUAAAGUGGCAAUAUGACGAAAUUUACAUUUCAUAACGGAGUCAAAUAAAAUGUCAAAAAUAAUUAUUAAAUUUCACUUAUAAUAAAGUUAAAAUGGUUGUUAAUUACAAAAAGACAUAUCCAAAUAUACUUGUGUAUUAUCUACUUGAUUAUAAAUUUGAUAAUAAUAAUUUUGAAAAAUAGAUAUAUAUAUCUAUCAAUUUCGCACGUCACAAAGUUGUAAUGUUAUCAGUCUUGUUUAUAUUUCUUCACCUUUGUUCUAUUUCUUAGAAUAUUACCUUCUCUUGUAAAUUCUAAUAUGAAUGCUUCUACUGCUCUUGUUAUCAUAUUAUUUGAAUCAUUAUCAGAGAAUAUGGUGUUUUUAAUUUCAAUACUAAGAUGCUUCCAAAACCUGAGUGUACUAUUAACAAGUGUUUUUUCAAUAAAUCUUUUAGUUGUAUUAUAAUCCAUUUCAUAAAUGGCUGCAACUAAUCUUAAAGCUGUUUCCCAUUUAUCUAUAGCUUCUCCAGUAUUUAAAGACACAGUCUACAUCCAGAUACAUUCCAAAAGGUUUGUAUUGCUUCGGGUCUCAAUUUUUCUAAUGGAGUAAAUCCUUUCGAAUCUACAUUUUUUCCUAAAGAAUGGACCGCAGCAUAUCCUCUAGCAGGUCUAUUAAAGCUAUUAUUAACAUAUCUAGGAGUAUUUGAGCUAGAUACUGGGAUAUCAAGAAUGGCUGGAUUUUCAGGAAUCUUAUUUAAUAUCUGGUUUUAUAUUAAAUGUAUUAUCUAAAUUCAAGUGUCCUCUCUGAUCUACUAGUUCUUCAAUAUCUGAAUUAGAGGCUUGUAUAAAAUUUUUCAUUUUACAAAUCCUUUAGUAUUUUCAUAGUUGGGAUUGCUCUAAAUAAAGCUUGUUCAUUUUUAUUUCAUAUAUUUGUUUAGUCUCUGGUUUUUUUAAUAUCAGGUUCGUUAAUUAUUUUUUCAUCUAAUCUAUUAAUCCUUAUUUCUAUUUCUACUAAUUUAUCUAAUAAAUGUUUCCCAAAGUAUUUUAUUGUCUACUGAAUUUCUACCAAGUCAUUUUCAAUCUUUAAUCCUUUAGAAACCUAAUAUCAAGCCCGAGCUACUUGAUAGGGAUAUAAUUAUGCAUUUUAUUUGUGGUUAUUUGGUCUUAAUUUUGGCAGUAUAGUAUGCAAAGUAUUGGAUUUCUGCUCAUAAUUAGUAUUUGUGUUAAUUACAGGCAAUUAGUGUUGAAAGUGACAAAAGGGAGGCAAAAUCCAGAAGACUCUUGCUUCUAAGGCGUGCCCACGCCAGACAACACAGAGCUGCGUGAAAAAGCCGGAUCGCGGGCCCAAUCCCUGGAACAACCAUUCUGAUUGGAAGAUACCUUUUUACCAUGCGUGAGAUCAUGCGUGAGAUCAGGAAACCUUAAAAACAAGAAGUCGUUUGGCAACAAACAAUUAAGAAAGUAAGAAAAAGGAAUCCUUUUGGGAAACACAGGAGAAUUGGAAACCAAUUGGAAUUGGAAAGCAAGUGCUGCGAAGACCUUUAAGUAGCAGAGGAAAUAGAAUUCGAAGAGGACUUUUGGCAACAAUCCAAUGAGGGAAAUAAGGAAACAAUCCUUGUGGGAAACAAAUUCCAAUUCAACAAGCAAAGGGAAGCGGCAGCAACACUAUAAAUAAAAAGGCAGCAAUAGACUAGGGCAUCUUCUGUCUUGGACUUGUCUCUUUGUUCUUUUCUUCUUUUUCCUUUUGAACGCAAGUAGCAAAUAGGAGCCGACAUCUUUUAC
rnacentral:lncRNA from 1 species